AUUGAACGCUGGCGGCAUGCCUUACACAUGCAAGUCGAACGGUAACGCGGGGGCAACCCUGGCGACGAGUGGCGAACGGGUGAGUAAUGUAUCGGAACGUGCCCUAGAGUGGGGGAUAACUAGUCGAAAGAUUAGCUAAUACCGCAUACGAUCUAUGGAUGAAAGCGGGGGAUCGCAAGACCUCGCGCUCCUGGAGCGGCCGAGAACUGAUUAGCUAGUUGGUGGGGUAAAUGCCCACCAAGGCGACGAUCAGGAGCUGGUCUGAGAGGACGCCCGGCCUCACUGGGAAUGAGACACGGCCCAGACACCUACGUGAGGAAGCAGUGGGGAAUUUUGGACAAUGGGCGCAAGCCUGAUCCAGCCAUGCCGCGUGCAGGAUGAAGGCCUUCGGGUUGUAAACUGCUUUUGUACGGAACGAAAAGGUUUGGCCUAAUAAGCUGGACCCAUGACGGUACCGUAAGAAUAAGCACCGGCUAACUACGUGCCAGCAGCCGCCGUAACAC
rnacentral:rRNA from 1 species